rnacentral:rRNA from 1 species
CAGCAGCCGCGGUAAUACGUAGGGUGCGAGCGUUGAUCGGAAUUACUGGGCGUAAAGCGUGCGCAGGCGGUUGUGUAAGACAGGUGUGAAAUCCCCGGGCUUAACCUGGGAACUGCGCUUGUGACUGCACAGCUAGAGUAUGGCAGAGGGGGGUGGAAUUCCACGUGUAGCAGUGAAAUGCGUAGAGAUGUAGAGGAACACCGAUGGCGAAGGCAGCCCCCUGGGCCAAUACUGACGCUCAUGCACGAAAGCGUGGGGAGCAAACAGGAUUAGAUACCCCCGUAGUCCCUGUCUCUUAUAC